UGGGGAAUAUUGCACAAUGGAGGGAACUCUGAUGCAGCGACGCCGCGUGAACGAAGAAGGCUUUCGAGUCGUAAAGGUCUUUUAUAUGGGAAGAUAAUGACGGUACCAUAAGAAAAAGCCCCGGCUAACUACGUGCCAGCAGCCGCGGUAAUACGUAGGGGGCUAGCGUUGUCCGGAAUCACUGGGCGUAAAGGGUUCGCAGGCGGAAAUGCAAGUCAGGUGUAAAAGGCAGUAGCUUAACUACUGUAAGCAUUUGAAACUGCAUAUCUUGAGCAGAGUAGAGGUAAGUGGACUUUUUAGUGUAGCGGUGAAAUGCGUAGAUAUUAAAAAGAAUACCGGUGGCGAAGGCGACUUACUGGGCUCAUUCUGACGCUGAGGAACGAAAGCGUGGGUAGCAAACAGG
rnacentral:rRNA from 1 species